rnacentral:rRNA from 1 species
GAUGAACGCUGACAGAAUGCUUAACACAUGCCAGUCCACUUGAACUUCGGUUUGGGUGGCGGACGGGUGAGUAACGCGUAAAGAACUUGCCUCACAGUUAGGGACAACAUUUGGAAACGAAUGCUAAUACCUGAUAUUAUGAUUUUAGGGCAUCCUAGAAUUAUGAAAGCUAUAUGCGCUGUGAGAGAGCUUUGCGUCCCAUUAGCUAGUUGGAGAGGUAACGGCUCACCAAGGCGAUGAUGGGUAGCCGGCCUGAGAGGGUGAACGGCCACAAGGGGACUGAGACACGGCCCUUACUCCUACGGGAGGCAGCAGUGGGGAAUACUGGACAAUGGACCAAGAGUCUGAUCCAGCAAUUCUGUGUGCACGAUGAAGUUUUUCGGAAUGUAAAGUGCUUUCAGUUGGGAAGAAAAAAAUGACGAUACCAACAGAAGAAGUGACGGCUAAAUACGUG